rnacentral:lncRNA from 1 species
GAAAAAGAGACGAUCAUUUUAGAGGCCACUUAGAAGGGGUGUUAAGUGUCAUGUUCCUUAAAAAGAUAAAGCGUCCACAAAAAUUAACCUGCAAAAUAAUAUCAGGACCAACAUAUUACACAAACAAAAACAUUAUUAGUAAAUACUACUACUGAUGUAAUGUUGUUAAACCAAAAACGACCAGUGAAUAAGGAUGUCCAUAUGCUUAUGUUUUCGCAAUAGCAAGCGUAGAAAUCUUUUGGAAUUGUAAUCCCAUGAAUUUCAGAAGGAAAUCUUUUGGAAUCUUAUAACCCUGAAAAAGUAAGAAAAUAAAAGAUACAAUUUUGACUCAGAUCAGCCACAAAGGUUAGAAAAAAGGUUUGUUAAUACAAAACAUAAUUGAGGUGGUGCAAUUGUGGUUCCUAUCUACAAAAAAAAAACCAAAUUUAAACAAAAAGAAUAGGCCUAGAUUUCGUACAUCUUGUGUAAACCAUAAGUUUGAACUUAUAUUCUCCAUGAAUUGUAGCCAACAUCCAUGCAUCAUCAAUUACAAAAGAUGAGCAAAUUCCCAACUAAAACUUAAAAUACACCUAAAUAAGUUCCAUGGAAAACACAAUAUAAACAUCUCAAAGUAAAUCAUGUUACCCGUAAGCAAGAACCUGUAGCCACUUCACCUCACCUUUCAAUUCGCAAACUGCAAACACAA